CCUCAGUUCGUACCCUCCAGCUGUUCCCGCGACAGCAGUCAUUGCAAGCCUUCUUCCUCACAUCGUACUUUCCUGCUUUUCCCACCGACAGCAGUCACCGCAAACCUCCUUCCUCACACCGUAUCCUCCUACUGUUCCCGCCGACAGCAGGCAUCGCUAACCUUCUUCGUCACACUGUAUCCUCCUGCUGUUCCCGCCGAUAGCAGGCAUUGCAAACCACUCCUCACAUCGUACGCUGAGCUGUUCCCGCCGACAGCUCUCGCACGGCACUCACCAAAUUCCUUCUCCCAAGUAUCACAGAAAGCCACCACACACACCCAUGUAGCGUAAGCCCUUGCCAGAUUAUUCGCACACCACCACCACCACAGCUGUUCGUGCAGGCGAGCUGACAAUGUCGGCUCAGCUUUGACCGCGAUGACUCCUCGGACCAGACAACGCCUCGUAUCUAACGGACAUAAGAGCUAUAGCUGACACAUCUCCAUCUUCUUACAUCGUGCCCUGCUCGAAGCCCUCAUAAUGGAAAUUAAUGCCUCAAUCGCCAACAUCCGCCACGCCACAGGGGGGAGGCUGGAGAGGUGACGCUGAGCUACAGGGCGUGUGGCGGCGGUGGUGGCAGCGACGUAGCAGCCGGCAGCCAGCAGCCACAGGAGCCGCCGCUGCACGCCGUCCUCAUUCGUUGUUUUGUCCCAGCGCUGUACAUACAAUCUGACACUCACAACGGCAACAACUCUAGUGUUAAAUAAAUACCUCUUACCUGCCAUAAGUAAGCUUAUUCGCGUAGACUAAACUUGCGUUCUUGCUGUCAACACUGCUGUGUGCUUUAUUGGAAUUUUUUAUCAAUGUUGUUGGUGGUGUUAAUUGGUGUUUUUUCGAUGUCCAUGUGCAUUUCGUGUAAAUAUUGUCUACUUAAAUCAGUGUAAUGAAGAAACAAAUGACGGUAACGAAUUUGCUCAACGAGCGGCUCUCCGACUCAGCGCGCCGUCGACGAUUCCUCUACCGAAGACUCGAGGGGCGGCAUUCAGCUCGUCGUGACAUCCGGAGUCCCUGUUUCUGUGUGCCGGCAGAACUACACCCCUCUUCAGCCUCUCUCUUUCUCUUUUUAGUGAGCGCUAAUUAGCAGUUAAUGACAAUGACUUUCUCCAAUUUCUCACAUAACAAUUUCGCUAAAUAGUUUAGUACCACUGAUAACCUUACAGAGUCAUAAAUGCUACCCACACGUCCUCACUUUUCCUCUACUCUAAGCUAUGGCUUUUUGUUGACUGCUUGAUUUCGCCCUCUUUUUCUGCUGUCGCAUUUCAGAGCUUCGCUUACGAGGUGUGCCGGCCACACCCCAUUUCCGGCCAAAGCGAGACGUUGUGAACACCAACAGGAUUACCUUGCUAUAAAGUUCAUUACAUCCUUUCUGUCCAUCAGUUGGGCUCAUAUGUAUCAGUAUUAAAGCGUCAGAUAUGUUGAAACACCUUUGAUAACAACACAGGCUGUGUCAGUGCUAUCGUUACCAAAGUUAGUUUUUAAGAUUAGUGAUAAGUCUAUUCUCAGGCAUUUUAAUGUAAUAUUCGGCCAUGUGAUUGUCAUCAGUUUAUUUGUAGUUAGGUUAUGGUGUUAGGAAUAGUCCAAAAAUUAAAUAUUUAUCCUCCAAAUGAGCAGCAUUCACAAUUAGAGGUGCCUACUCCUACGGAACUCUGUCGCGUCGUUUCACCCAUCGUCACUCAUCUCCUCUCCG